AUUGAACGCUGGCGGCAGGCUUAACACAUGCAAGUCGAGCGGAGCGAGGGUGCUUGCACCUUAGCUUAGCGGCGGACGGGUGAGUAAUGCUUAGGAAUCUGCCUAUUAGUGGGGGACAACAUUCCGAAAGGAAUGCUAAUACCGCAUACGCCCUACGGGGGAAAGCAGGGGACCUUCGGACCUUGCGCUAAUAGACGAGCCUAAGUCGGAUUAGCUAGUUGGUGGGGUAAAGGCUUACCAAGGCGACGAUCUGUAGCGGGUCUGAGAGGAUGAUCCGCCACACUGGGACUGAGACACGGCCCAGACUCCUACGGGAGGCAGCAGUGGGGAAUAUUGGACAAUGGGCGGAAGCCUGAUCCAGCCAUGCCGCGUGUGUGAAGAAGGCCUUUUGGUUGUAAAGCACUUUAAGCGAGGAGGAGGCUACUUAGAUUAAUACUCUGGGAUAGUGGACGUUACUCGCAGAAUAAGCACCGGCUAACUCUGUGCCAGCCGCCGCGGUAAAAC
rnacentral:rRNA from 1 species